rnacentral:lncRNA from 1 species
CAUCUCUUUUUCUUAGGCAUAAUACUUUCUGACUGCAUCAGAAUUGACGGGGUGUGUCAACUCUUCUCCGUCCAUGUUCGUGAGAACUAAAGCUCCACCAGAGAAAGCUUUCUUCACCACAAAUGGUCCUUCAUAGUUUGGAAUCCACUUGCCACGUGAAUCCUUAUGGAGGGAGAUUAUCUUUUUCAAAACUAGUUCACCUACAUUAAACUCUCGAGGUCGAACCUUCUUG